AGAGUUUGAUCAUGGCUCAGGACGAACGCUGGCGGCGUGCUUAAUACAUGCAAGUCGAACGGAGCCUAGCCGGUAGUUUACUACAGGCGAAAGCUUAGUGGCGGACGGGUGAGUAACGCGUGGGCAAUCUGCCCCUAAGUCCGGGAUAACAGAGUGAAAGUUCUGCUAAGACCGGAUACUCUUCCUUGGUCGCAUGGCGGAGGAAGGAAAGGAUACGCUUAGGGAUGAGCCCGCGUCCCAUUAGCUAGUUGGUGAGGUAACGGCCCACCAAGGCGACGAUGGGUAGCCGGCCUGAGAGGGUGGACGGCCACACUGGGACUGAGACACGGCCCAGACUCCUACGGGAGGCAGCAGUAGGGAAUUUUCCGCAAUGGGGGAAACCCUGACGGAGCAACGCCGCGUGAGGGAAGAAGGUCUUCGGAUCGUAAACCUUUGUCAUCGAGGACGAAAACUGACGGUACUCGAGGAGGAAGCCCCGGCUAACUACGUGCCAGCAGCCGCGGUAAUACGUAGGGUGCGAGCGUUAAUCGGAAUUACUGGGCGUAAAGCGUGCGCAGGCGGUUUGUUAAGUCUGAUGUGAAAGCCCCGGGCUCAACCUGGGAACUGCAUUGGAAACUGGCAAGCUCGAGUAUGGCAGAGGGGGGUGGAAUUCCGCGUGUAGCAGUGAAAUGCGUAGAGAUGCGGAGGAACACCGAUGGCGAAGGC
rnacentral:rRNA from 1 species